rnacentral:lncRNA from 1 species
CGUGCUGUUUAUUUUUAAAACUCAACAUAUAAAUGCUGAAUAAAAUAAAAUAUGUUUGGUUCUGCAACAGGUUAUGUAUUCCUGUAAGAUUAGUGACGUUGCUGUCUGCAUAUUACUCAGAACUGCGGAAACAAAUUAAUUUCAGAGUGCAGAUAAACCUGAAUAAUUUAAUUUUGGAUGUAACGCGUCUUCUGAAUGGCUGACGUUAUUUUGUUAUGAGCCCAUAGACAUAAUUUAGUCAUGUAACCGUGACGUCAUCAACGUUUUUUCAUGGUUUUCUACGGUUUAAAAUGGAAUUUAGAAUUAAAGUAGAGUUAUGUGUUCUGCGCAGAUCUGCUACGCGAGUUAUUCAGUGUGCACCAAAUUUUUUAUGUUAUUUCUUCAUAGACAGAAAAAAUAUUACAGUCAUUCCUUAAAUGUUAAAAAAAUCCAUAUUUUGUGUGCAUAUAUGUUUAUUAUUAUUAUUAUGGGGACGAAGUCCCCAUUAACAGUAGAAAAUUCAAUAAAAAAAUAUUUUUUUUUAAAUCGAGAAAAUUUCCCGAAUUUUUCAUUGUACUAAUGAACUCAAAAUCGUUCAAUUUUUUUUUGUCGCGUUUUUUAAUUUCCAGAUCUGCGCAGAACACAUAACUCUACUUCCUUCUUCCGGUCAUGUUGUCGUGAGACUUUGAUUAGUCUAGUAAAAUAUAGGAACUCAAGGAACACAAUACCAAUAUUUCAUUUUUAAUCCUUCUUUGGUAUGAAUAAACAUUACCUGAUGCAUUUCGUUUCUUUGUUUACAUUGAACAUGACGCCAUAACUUAAAUAACGUCACAAGUAAAAUCCCUAACAACAGAACCAAAAUCGGAAACGUUACGGUAUUUCCGUUUCUUUUUUUUUUUUUUAACAAAUAUUUAAGUUACAAAAAAAAAUAAUUUAA